AUUUGAAUGAAUUAAAAUGUUAAAUUUGCCCAUAAUUUAUAACAGAUGGAGUAGUUACAAGUUGGUUGCUAAAUUUAGUAAAAAAAAAUGGGUUGGUACAUUAUGUCGUAAGUUUAGUUAUGAUCACUAAACUUAUAAAGUUCAUUUUUCAUUUAAUUUAUUUUUCUAUAAUUAGACUCUACUAUGCUUCUCAACAUGAUCAUGCUGUUUGAUUUAUUUAAUUAUUUGGUAAAGUAUACUACGCCAAUUUUGAGAUUUAGUAGAGCUAAUUUAAUAGCACUUUUAGAAAAAAUGCUAUGAAAAGAUUGACUAUAAUAUUAAUAAUAGCAUUUCCGUUACCCGUGCUAUUAUAACGUGACAUCUAUAUUAGUCUUUUUAUAGAAAGUGCUAUUAUAUGGUAUUAAAAAAAAUUAUAAAAAAAGAGAGGAGUGUGAUGAUAGGAGUGUGAUAGUGUUUUCUAGCAGUGAAGGCCAAUUUGUUUUCUUCUUUGAUUUUUGUUGUUGUGUGUUUCAUACUUUAAUCUCUUACCAGGUUCAUAAUUAAUUGUAUAGUAUCUGAGAUUAUUUGAAUGUGACUUUUGAUAUUUUUUAUAGUGAAAUUGGAAUUUUCUUACAUGUUUAAUAUGUAGUUGCAUAUAUUUAUUAAAGGUUACUAUUUCAUUCAUUCAUGUAAAUUAUACAGGUUAUUCAAACAAGGCAUAUCAUGGGCAUCUUGGUGCCUUAAAUUCUUCAACUUUGUAGGUUUCACCAUUGAGUUCUCAGGUUCAUUUACUCCAUGAUUACUAGCCUUGGAAAUUUUGGCAAUUAUAGUUUAGUGUAAACUGUUGUAUAACAGCCUAUGCGUAAGUAUGGCUUUCAAAUGCUAUUUACCAUGAUGCUUAGUCCCUUCACUUUUCAUUUGUUUCAGCCUUUUGUAAUAAUCAUGUUUUGUUGUUUAUCAUUUCCAGGUUAUAGAAUUUGGUUUUAGUUUGAUAUAAAUAUUGACCAAAUAUAAAGUAUAAUUGUUGAAAUGUGUUGUCAUUUGAGGUGUAUCUUCCACAUCAAUGUAUAUGCGUAAUCUUGAAAAGCUUGUUUCAAGUAAUUUGGACGAGAGCUAUAUAUGUGUAUGCAUGUAUAGAGAUGUUGAAGAAAUUGACAAGAGCAUAGCAUAAGGGAAAUGAAGAGGAACAAAGAUACAUAUAAAAGAUCCAAAGAGUUUUUUUUGUUUAAAUUUGAAGAGCUUUUCUUGAUAAUAUAUGCAUUGUGUUAGGUUCUUUUACAAUGAAUA